CCUACGGGUGGCAGCAGUAGGGAAUCUUCCACAAUGGGCGAAAGCCUGAUGGAGCAACGCCGCGUGGGUGAAGAAGGUCUUCGGAUCGUAAAACCCUGUUGUUAGAGAAGAAUGUGCGUGAGAGUAACUGUUCACGUUUCGACGGUAUCUAACCAGAAAGCCACGUCUAACUACGUGCCAGCAACAGCGGGAAUACGACGGUGGCAAGCGUUAUCCGGAGUUAUUGGGCGUAAAGGGAACGCAGGCGGUCUUUUAAGUCUGAUGUGAAAGCCUUCGGCUUAACCUGAGUAGUGUAUUGGAAACUGGGAGACUUGAGUGCGUAAGAGGAGAGUGGAACUCCAUGUGUAGCGGUGAAAUGCGUAGAUAUAUGGAAGAACACCAGUGGCGAAAGCAGCUCUCUGGGCUGUAACUGACGCUGAGGUUCGAAAGCGUGGGUAGCAAACAGGAUUAGAUACCCUAGUAGUC
rnacentral:rRNA from 1 species